AACUGGUUUGACUUUCGGUAAUAAAUCCAAAGCAUUUAUCACCGGGUUAAAACCAGUUCG
rfam:Caenorhabditis tropicalis strain JT1373 unplaced genomic scaffold Scaffold442, whole genome shotgun sequence.